rnacentral:rRNA from 1 species
GAUGAACGCUGGCGGCGUGCCUAAUACAUGCAAGUCGAGCGAACAGACGAGGAGCUUGCUCCUCUGACGUUAGCGGCUGACGUGUGAGUAACACGUGGAUAACCUACCUCUAUUACUUGGAUAACUUCGGGAAACCGGAUCUAAUACCGGAUAAUAUAUUUAACCGCAUUGUUCAAUAGUGUAAGUCGGUUUUGCUGUCUCUUAUAGAUGUUUCCGCGCCGCAUUAUCUAGUUGGUAAGGGAACGGCUUACCAAGGCAACGAUGCGUAGACGACCUGAGAGGGUGAUCGGACACACGGGAACUGAGACACGGUACAGACUACUACGGGAGGCAGCAGUAGGGAAUCUUGCGCAAUGGGCGAAAGCAUGACGGAGCAAAGCCGCGUGAGUGAUGAAGGACUUAGGAUCGUAAAACUAUGUUAUUAGGGAAGAAAAAAUGUGUAAGUAACUAUGCACGUAUUGACGGUAACUAAUCAGAAAGCAACGGCUAACUACGUG